UACGGAGGGGGCUAGCGUUGUUCGGAAUUACUGGGCGUAAAGCGCACGUAGGCGGCUUUGCAAGUUAGAGGUGAAAGCCCGGGGCUCAACUCUGGAACUGCCCUUGAAACUGUAUGGCUUGAGUAUGAGAGAGGUGAGUGGAAUUCCCAGUGUAGAGGUGAAAUUCGUAGAUAUUGGGAAGAACACCGGUGGCGAAGGCGGCUCACUGGCUCAUUACUGACGCUCAGGCGCGACAGCGUGGGGAUCAAACAGG
rnacentral:rRNA from 1 species